UCCCAUGUGGUCUAGUGGUUAGGAUAUCUGGCUUUCACCCAGAAGGCCCGGGUUCGAUUCCCGGCAUGGGAA
rnacentral:tRNA from 1 species